AGCGGAGGAAAAGAAACUAACAAGGAUUCCCUUUAGUAACUGCGAGUGAAGAGGGAAAAGCUCAAAUUUAAAAUCUGGCAGUGUUUUGCUGUCCGAGUUGUAACCUAGAGAAGUGUAACCUGUGCUGGACCGUGUAUAAGUCUCCUGGAAUGGAGCAUCAUAGAGGGUGAGAAUCCCGUCUUUGACAUGGACUACCAGUGCAUUGUGGUUGCGCACUCAACGAGUCGAGUUGUUUGGGAAUGCAGCUCUAAAUGGGUGGUAAAUUCCAUCUAAAGCUAAAUAUUGGCGAGAGACCGAUAGCGAACAAGUACCGUGAGGGAAAGAUGAAAAGAACUUUGGAAAGAGAGUUAAACAGUAUGUGAAAUUGUUGAAAGGGAAACGUUUGAAGUCAGUCGCGUUGGUUGGGGAUCAGCCUGACAUUGUUGGGUGUACUUCCUGGUUGACGGGCCAACAUCAGUUUUGACUGCCAGAAAAAGGCCAAAGGAAUGUGGCACCUUUGGGUGUGUUAUAGCCAUUGGUCGUAUAUGGUGGUUGGGACUGAGGAAAGCAGCGUGCCGAAAGGCCGGGUUUCGACCACGUUCACGCUGAGGAUGUUGGCAUAAUGGCUUUAAGCGACCCGUCUUGAAACACGGACCAAGGAGUCUAACAUGCGUGCGAGUGUUUGGGUGGAAAACCCUUACGCGUAAUGAAAGUGAAAGUUGAGAUCCCUGUCGCGGGGAGCAUCGACGCCCGGACCAGAACUUUUGGGACGGAUCUGCGGUAGAGCAUGUAUGUUGGGACCCGAAAGAUGGUGAACUAUGCCUGAAUAGGGUGAAGCCAGAGGAAACUCUGGUGGAGGCUCGUAGCGAUUCUGACGUGCAAAUCGAUCGUCAAAUUUGGGUAUAGGGGCGAAAGACUAAUCGAACCAUCU
rnacentral:rRNA from 1 species